GGAGUUGAAGAAGAGGGCUGGUCGAGUGUCAGAAUAAAAACCAUCUGCUUCCUCUUCCUCAUCACUCCUGCUUCACUGCCGACUCACACAGCAUCUCUGAACCUCCUGACUUGAGCAACAGAGAAAAUGGUUUUCACUGUGCAUUUGAGGGUCCUUCUUCUCGGGAUUGUUUUGCUUUCUAGUAUUCAAAGUGUGGUGAAUCAAAAUGUGGAUGUGAACACCCUUGCCAGGAUUCAAAAAUAUUUUCAUUUCAAUUAUUUUAGCGGCGGCCAGUAUGCAGUAGCCAUCAAUGUCCCACAGUAUCAGUGUCAAAGCGGAUUCAACCCCCAAAACACACCCUUUCUGAUAAAUGACCCGUCAGAAACAGUUAAACCUCACACAAAACCUGACGUGAAUGUCUACAGAGGCUGUCAACUCAUCGCUGCAGGGGUUCAUACAAAUGCACAUUCAGAGCCUUUACUGAUGAAUCCUCCAAAUAAUUCUCCUUUGACACACUUGAUAAAUACAAACAGAGAUGGAUGUGUGGUUUUCUACACCUUUCUAAGUCCUUGUAUAAACCGUUGUCUCAAUAGCAAUAAUAUAAACAAUAUUAUAAGAGGUCUUGAUGAAUUAAACGCGUACCAGGGAAUUAAAGCCUUUGUUUACACACAUAUCUACAGAGAUGAUAAAAAUAAACCAAAUCUUAGAUCUAAACUACAGCAGAUUGCUAAUCGUGUGCCACUUUACCUCUGUAACAAUGAGGGUUGUAUCCUUUGUGGAAGACCAGGUUUAAACAUAGAUGAGAGAAGCCAAUGUUUAAGAGCAUAGGUCUCACUUGCUCACUAACUUUGAGUUUCUUAUUUGACAGUGAUGCUUUAAAUGAACCGAUGAGCUAGUUAUCUGCUGAGACUUUUGAAGAUACAAUUCAGUGCUUAAAUAGACUUUCGCAUGCAGCUUUUUGCUUUUUCUUUCAAAAAGCACAAUACUUAGAAAUUAGUAAACUAUGGCAGGGGAGAGUAAAUGUUGACCUUUCAUGAUUAUAAUCAUAUCAAAUUCAGCAACAAUUGGAAAUUUGAAGGUCUUGAUUAAGGGAAAGAACCAGUAAAUUAAAUCUUUUGUAUUCAGAAACAUCUGGCAUUACGACCAGAUGGGUUUAAUGCUGUGAACCACAAUGUUUUUUGAUAUUUUGUGAUUAAAACGCUUGUUUGUUUGUGCUUAAAUUACAAAUUUUGUAAUGGUUUCACAAACACUGCUUGGGGAAAUAAAUACAUUUCUAUGCACCA